GACGAUCAGUAGCCGACCUGAGAGGGUGAUCGGCCACAUUGGAACUGAGACACGGUCCAAACUCCUACGGGAGGCAGCAGGGGGGAAUAUUGCACAAUGGGCGAAAGCCUGAUGCAGCAACGCCGCGCGAGUGAUGAAGGCUUUCGGGUCGUAAAACUCUGUCCUCAAGGAAGAUAAUGACGGUACUUGAGGAGGAAGCCCCGGCUAA
rnacentral:rRNA from 1 species